CUCUUUAAUUAAAAGUCUUCUUUUAAGAACCUGAUUGAUUUUUCCUUGUUUUAAGAUCCAAGGGUUUUUUUGCAUCUGGACUCAUCAGGAAUUGGUGGUGGAGAAAGGAGAGG